rnacentral:rRNA from 1 species
UACGGAGGGUGCAAGCGUUAUCCGGAUUCACUGGGUUUAAAGGGCGCGUAGGCGGGCAUUCAAGUCCGUGGUGAAAUCCGGCAGCUCAACUGUCGAACUGCCGCGGAUACUGGGUGUCUCGAGGGAGGUAGGGGCGUGCGGAACUAUUGGUGGAGCGGUGAAAUGCGUUGAUAUCAAUAGGAACUCCGGUGGCGAAGGCGGCACGCUGGACCUUUUCUGACGCUGAGGCGCGAAAGCCAGGGGAGCAAACGGG